rnacentral:lncRNA from 1 species
UGUUUUUAUUGCAGCCUCACACAUUGUGCUUAUGUGUGCUCAGUGACAUGCCAUAUCUACCUCUUUGCAGAUUGACUCUGGAUGUAAAAAGCCGAGUCCCACAUGGCCAGUGGCAUACAUGUCAAGGCCAAGUCUUCAUAGUCCAGAUAUGAUUGGUAAAUGACUCAACAAAAUUAUUCAACCCCUAUAUUGGAUCUUAUUCUCAGUGCUGGGAAUAUAAGAGGUAACACAAUAUUUUUGCCACCUGGUAACCAUUUAGUGGCUUGCUGUCUGUCAAAUUGGAAUCAUUAAUCUAAGAUCCACAAAACACACUGACCUCAUCAGGAACUAUCAACCACAUUAAUCACAUGGUGAGCUGUAAUUAAUACCCUUGCUGCACAUCUCAGCAGAUGCCAAGUGGUAACUGUGCCC